rnacentral:sRNA from 1 species
ACGCGAGUAGUAGAUAGCCGUGUCAUCGGC